AUGAGAAAAUAGAAAAGAUAAAUUUUGUUCUUCCCGUUUUCUUCUGUUUUUUGCGACUCUCUUGACGGAAACAACGACUCUCUUCCCUUGAAUCGAUUGAUUUUUGACACCAAUUUUACACUUUCCCCUCUUUGAGUUGUUUCGUCGUCUUCAGCUCUUCAUCGGCCGUUGUACUUUCCAGUGACAAGAAAGAGAGAGUUCGGAGAGAGAGAGCAAGACAGAUCCUCAUCGUCUUGGUUCUUGUUUCUUCCUCGAUCUCUCGAUCUUCUCCUCUGAUUUAAGACUGGAGAUAUGAUAUGGGUUUGAAAAAUGAAGAAGAUUCAUAACCAAAAAGUAAAAUUGUGUAUAAUACUGAUGAUGAAGAUGAUUAUAAUGAUCUUGAUGAUGAGCUUGUACCAAGGAGCGUGAGCAAGAAGCUUAAAAGACAGAGGAUUCGGAAAUUGGGAAAGAGAUGUUCGUAUUUGCAGUUGAAACCUGGGUGUGCUCAUCAGCUCAUGACAAGCAUGGGUUUGGCAUCAAUUUCAGAUGCUGAUUCAAUUUCUUGAAAAUUUUCAUCAAUGAAACGGUUUUGAUUACUCAUGUGUUUUGUGUGUAAAUGGUAGUGUUGGAUCUUUGCUUAUUGAUUUGUUCUUGGAUAGUUCAGUUUAUGCAAUCUUGUAAAAAUAGAUCUUUAGGUGCUAUAUGAAUUGUGUUAACUUCAACUAACACUCUUUAGUCCAUGAAUAGUUUCUUCAA